rnacentral:rRNA from 1 species
UACGUAGGUGGCAAGCGUUGUCCGGAAUUAUUGGGCGUAAAGCGCGCGCAGGCGGUCCUUUAAGUCUGAUGUGAAAGCCCACGGCUCAACCGUGGAGGGUCAUUGGAAACUAGGGGACUUGAGUACAGAAGAGAAGAGUGGAAUUCCACGUGUAGCGGUGAAAUGCGUAGAGAUGUGGAGGAACACCAGUGGCGAAGGCGACUCACUGGACACAUAUUGACGCUGAGGUGCGAAAGCGUGGGGAGCAAACAGG